rnacentral:rRNA from 1 species
AAUAGAUACCCGGGUAGUCCACGCCGUAAACGAUGGAUGCUAGCUAUUGGGGGGAAUCGACCCCCUCCGAAGCGAAGCUAACGCGUUAAGCAUCCCGCCUGAGUAGUACGAGCGCAAGCUUAAAACUCAAAGGAAUUGACGGGGACCCGCACAAGCGGUGGAGCGUGUGGUUUAAUUCGAUGGUAAACGAAGAACCUUACCAAGGUUUGACAUCCCGGUAGCCGUUCUCCGAAAGGAGAAUUUCAUUUAGUUGGACCGGUGACAGGUGAUGCAUGGCCGUCGUCAGCUCGUGUCGUGAGAUGUUGGGUUAAGUCCCGCAACGAGCGCAACCCUUAUGAUUUAGUUGGAUUUUUCUAAACAGACUGCCCUGGUAACAGGGAGGAAGGAGGGGAUGAUGUCAGGUCAGUAUUUCCCUUACACCUUGGGCGACACACGCGCUACAAUGGCCGGUACAAUGGGCAGCUAAGCCGCGAGGUGGAGCAAAUCCCAUCAAAGCCGGUCCCAGUUCGGAUUGCAGGCUGAAACCCGCCCGCAUGAAGCCGGAAUCGCUAGUAACC